rnacentral:rRNA from 1 species
GACGAACGCUGGCGGCGUGCUUAACACAUGCAAGUCGAACGGAAAGGCCCUGCUUUUGUGGGGUGCUCGAGUGGCGAACGGGUGAGUAACACGUGAGUAACCUGUCCUUGACUUUGGGAUAACUCUAGGAAACUGGGGCUAAUACCGGAUAGGAUCUCCUGCUGCACGGGGGGGGAUGGAAAGAUUCGGCGGUGGGGGAUGGACUCGCGGGUUAUCAGCUGGUUGGUGGGGUAGGGGCUUACAAAGGCUUUGACGGGUAGGCGGCCUGAGAGGGUGACCGGCCACCUUGGGACUGCGAUACGGACCAGACUCCUACGGGCGGCAGCAGGGGGGAAUAUUGCACAAUGGGCGGAAGCCUGAUGCAGCAACGCCGCGUGCGGGAUGACGGCCUUCGGGUUGUAAACCGCUUUCGCCUGUGACGAAGCGUGAGUGACGGUAAUGGGUAAAGAAGCACCGGCUAACUACGUG